rnacentral:rRNA from 1 species
GUACACGCUGUGACUAGCAUAUCAAUAAGCGGAGGAAAAGAAACUAACAAGGAUUCCCUUAGUAACGGCGAGUGAAGCGGGAAGAGCUCAAAUUUGAAAUCUUCAAGGUUUUACCUUGACGAAUUGUAGUUUAAAGAAGUGUUUUCUGCUGAAGUUUUGGUAAAAGUUCUUUGGAAUAGGACAUCAUAGAGGGUGAGAAUCCCGUAUUUGACCAUUAUUUUCAGCUUUGUGAUACACUUUCAAAGAGUCGGAUUGUUUGGGAAUGCAGUCCAAAAUGGGUGGUAAAUUUCAUCUAAAGCUAAAUAUUGGCGAGAGACCGAUAGUGAACAAGUACCGUGAGGGAAAGAUGAAUAGAACUUUGAAAAGAGAGUUAAACAGUACGUGAAAUUGUCAAAAGGGAAGCGUUUGACACCAGUGUUGUUUUCUCGAAAAUCAAUUAAAAAUGGCUCGAUUUUGUAUUGCUGAGACCUUAAAAGCUCACUGUACAUUUUUCGUGUCUUUUUUAAUGCACUUUUCGUUUAACAAGUCAACAUCAGUUUCUUUUGUUGUAAAAGGGUCAUUGGAAGGUGGCUUUCUUUUCGGAGAAAGUGUUUAUAGCCUUUGGCCUCUGCAAUCGGAGAGACUGAGGUCUGCAGCGUAGACUCUUCGGGGUUAGAUACAUUUGUGCUAAGUUAUAGCUUUUUAUAGACAACUUGUUGACUAUAAUUAGUCUUGUAGCUUACUCGCUUAUGCUAUUUUACCUACGCUUAGGAUGUUGAUCUACAGAGCGAGAGU